ensembl:lncRNA
UUACAAUUUAGUGGUGUUUUACAGGCUGCAUUUUAGUCUUGAUCCAUGUAAAGAUAAUGCACUUAGAAAUGUUUUUCUGAUAGCCUACUAUUCAGAAUAGAGCUACGUUUCAUUUGGAUGACCAUAUUUACCCAAUUUAUAAGGCCAGUCUUCCAUUUUUAUUUUCCUUACGUAAAAUUUAUUUUCUUAACAGAGAAUAAAACUUCCAUUCAAUAUAUAUGUGAAAGGGCAAUGCAGUUUCAAGGCCCACUAGUUUCCUUCUCCCAGAACCAUUCCCAUGCUUUUUUUUCUUCUGCCUGCUAACAUAUUUUGUGAUACAGCUGCUGGGCUUGAGAUUGCUUUGCAAGACACUGUACAACUGCACUUGGCUUGAGACUUGAGAACGUUGAAUGAAUUGUUGCUUCCGUUUCCCCUUUAAGGCCAGUAUGUAGCAGGAGGGUUGGCUUGGCUACAAACCACUGAGAUACCUACAAUUUCAUAUCCCUCUUCUGCCAGUCCUGGAGCUCCCAUCCUAGACUAUGCUGCUCGCCCGGAAUAUAGUUGCUCAGUUUACAUUCAGCCAUUGUAGAUAAAUGAGAUUUCAGUCUUCCUUGCAUAGAGGAGGGGAUGAUACAAUACCCACUAUUAAAUUACUAACCUGGGGCUUAAAGGGGAAAACUUUUUUGUUACUCUUCAGGUUCAAGUUGAGAAGGAAAGUAAUAGCAUAGCCUCAGGUUUUUUUAAUGAAGUAUUGUAGCAUACAAUGGAGUAACUUAACAUUUUUACUUACCUGUGCUGGAGGAAUAGCAUCUCAAACCCUAUGCCAUUGAGCUUUUGCUGUCUCUGCAAAUACUGCGUACUGUUUAAAAUACCUGCAUCAAUUACUGGAGAAGAGUGAGCUUUGCUGUUUCUUGGGGCCAUUGAGACUUGCAUCUGUUGCAGCCUGAAUUAAGUCUUAGUUAAAUAACAAUUUAGAGGCUUUUAAUAUGACACAGCAGCUGUGAAAAAUGCUAUUAGAGCACGUGAAGCUGGAUGUCUUGGGAAGCUUUGCAGGCAUUCUCAGUUCUGAACUAUAACACAAGGUGGCAGUGUGUGUCAUCACUUGUACCUUCUAUGUCUGAUCUAAAAUUGGGGCACGGAGUGGAAAAAUGAGUUGAUGUCAUGUGACCAAACAAUGCUGCAGAUUCCAUUUUCUCUAGAUUAGGAAAGCUUUGAAGAAUAUUGAGUUAUAUUUAAUGGUGCUAGAAAACUCCUUAUAGUUUCUGCUAAUAAAUUGGGAAAAAGUGGUCCUUAUUCUUUGUUAACGAAGAUGUUGUGAGUGAUACAUGACUAUGACUUGCUUUUCUUUAUUUUGAAAUCCUCAAUUAGGAGAACAGAAGGACUUCUUGGGAAGUCCUAGGGAAUAUAUGUCUGCGUUAAUUAUCUUUUUCAAAUAUACUUGCCUGAAGCUUCAUCGUGUGUUAUCAGUAUAACUGAUGUGAUUGCAUGCAGUGCACAGAAAGCACGAAGAACAAAUCUGAACGGAUCUGUUGUUGUUGCACCUUGAUGAGAACUUAAAGUUUCAGCUUUGCUGCAGCUUUUAGCUGUAUUGUUGGGCCUCCUGUAGCUCAGUGCUUAGAGAUAUUGAAGAAAGUACCUGUCGAUGCACUCUGAAUCUACAUAAGCUGAUGAAAAAUGUAUCAGGUAAAGCUUUGUUUUUC